UACGUAGGUGGCAAGCGUUGUCCGGAUUCAUUGGGCGUAAAGAGCUCGUAGGCGGCUGUUCAAGUCGAACGUGAAAACUCGGAGCUCAACUCCGAGCCUGCGUUCGAUACUGGACGGCUAGAGUCUGGUAGGGGGAUCUGGAAUUCCUGGUGUAGCGGUGGAAUGCGCAGAUAUCGGGAGGAACACCAGUGGCGAAGGCGAUCUUCUGGACGGAUACUGACGCUGAGGCGCGAAAGCUAGGGGAGCAAACGGG
rnacentral:rRNA from 1 species